GCCUGGCGUCCUGCCUGGGGAGGCGCAGCCUAGCCCAGCACCUCCCGCCGUCUCAGGCUCGGAGGAGCUCUGUACCUGGCUCCGCGCUGACCCCUCCACCUGGCUGAAGGCAGCAGCCCUGGGAGACUCUGGCACUCUGGGCCGGAGCAGGAGCUGUGCCCCAUGGCAACCCAGACUGAAAGGGAAGCCCUGUCUGUUGCUCUUUGCUGCGGAUUCGAGGGAGGCCGUCUCGAGUCGCUCAGAAGCGACCUAAAGAAGGCACUGGCCUCUGUGCGCCGAACCUCCACGAGAUAGACUAAGUCUCCCAACCGUUUACAAAAAUAUGAAGCCAUCUGGAAAAGCGAGCAACCACAUGGAUGGAGGGAAACAAUUAAAAAUAAAAGAACCAUAUAUUCAAGACCAAAGAUCAUAUCUCAUAAUGAGGAGCAGCAUAAGAUGGAAGCAGCUGAAUGAAUAAAACUGAGAUGAAAUAAUUUGUCCAAAGUUGUAUAUUUGAGCUCUCUGUGUGACCACCCAUCUUCCAAACUCACCCUACCGCAGUCAGCCAGCAGCUCUGGGUCGUUAGCCUGUCAGAACCCUGAGAGCAGAAUGAUGGACAGCAAGAGGCAGCAGGCAGGAUGGAGAACACUCCAGCAUACACGACGUUGGGGUACAGCACACAGGGAUAAGAGACACAGCAGGGAAGUGGUGGAUGAUGCCUGUGGACUCCAGGUCCAGAAGUCUGUCAUCUUCAACACACUGCUUCUGAUCAUUUUAAAUUUAGAGUGCAAAUUAUUAAUUGCAGAAUCAAGACCACUGGAAUCAAGACAAACUGACUUUGUGUCAAUAAUUUAAUGCCAUUGUAUUUUGAAAGAGUUCAGAAAAAGAGUACAUCUGCUUCACAACUACUUGAUCUCCAUUUUCUUUUUUAUGCAUAUCCUGACUGCUGUAUAACUUAAGCCUAGGUUUUUUCUCUCAUCCAUUUGGUGGAAUAUUUUUUCCUAAAUGAAGAGUAAUCUAUAUUUUCUAUUUUGAUUUAAAUCUAUAAUUGGAGUGCUUAUCAACAUUGGCUAAUGAAAUCAACCUAUCAACACUAUAAUAUUACAGCAUGAAGUUUCUGGCUAAAAUAUUUUCCUUAUGGUUCUGCUUUUCUAGGAUCCAUAUUAUAUUCUUCCCUUGGUCUUUCUUUGGGAGUCAUUUCUUAAAAACACCCCCCCUUUUUUUUCUGAAGACUCACAUGAGAGCAGUGGAAUCAAGAGUUAGGUCUUUCUUUUCUCACUUAAGAACAAUAAGCAUACAGAAACUGAAAUUAUACAACAAAAUUUUACCCAUUUCUGCUAAAUUAAAGAGAUUUUUAAAAACAAUUUUAAAUGUCA
rnacentral:lncRNA from 10 species